GUGUCAGCCGCCGCGGUAAUACGUAGGUGGCAAGCGUUGUCCGGAUUUACUGGGCGUAAAGAGCGCGCAGGCGGUCAGAUAAGUCGAAUGUGAAAGCCCCCGGCUCAACUGGGGAGGGUCAUUCGAUACUGUUCGACUCGAAGGCAGGAGAGGGAAGCGGAAUUCCCGGUGUAGUGGUGAAAUGCGUAGAUAUCGGGAGGAACACCAGUGGCGAAGGCGGCUUCCUGGCCUGUUCUUGACGCUGAGGCGCGAAAGCUAGGGGAGCAAACGGGAUUAGAAACCCUGGUAGUCC
rnacentral:rRNA from 1 species